rnacentral:rRNA from 1 species
UGGGCGAAAGCCUGAUCCAGCAAUGCCGCGUGCAGGAUGAAGGCCUUCGGGUUGUAAACUGCUUUUGUACGGAACGAAAAGCUUCGGGUUAAUACCCUGGAGCCAUGACGGUACCGUAAGAAUAAGCACCGGCUAACUACGUGCCAGCAGCCGCGGUAAUACGUAGGGUGCAAGCGUUAAUCGGAAUUACUGGGCGUAAAGCGUGCGCAGGCGGUUUUGUAAGACAGAGGUGAAAUCCCCGGGCUCAACCUGGGAACUGCCUUUGUGACUGCAAGGCUAGAGUACGGCAGAGGGGGAUGGAAUUCCGCGUGUAGCAGUGAAAUGCGUAGAUAUGCGGAGGAACACCGAUGGCGAAGGCAAUCCCCUGGGCCUGUACUGACGCUCAUGCACGAAAGCGUGGGGAGCAAACAGGAUUAGAUACCCUGGUAGUCCACGCCCUAAACGAUGUCAACUGGUUGUUGGGUCUUAACUGACUCAGUAACGAAGCUAACGCGUGAAGUUGACCGCCUGGGGAGU